rnacentral:lncRNA from 1 species
UUUUAGAAGGUUGUGACAUCCAUUUAGUCAGUUAUGACUAACCCUUAAAAGAAUAGCGUAGCGCAGCACAGCACAAUAGAAACCAUCAGAAUGCAUCAAAUGUCACAAAGGCUCUCCUACCAGGAUGACGAAAAUCGGCAACUGACGCUCCCAGAGGAGGACAAGAGGGACAUCCGGCAAUCUCCGAAGAGGGGUUUCCUCCGCUCUGCCUCACUAGGUCGAAGGGCCUCCUUCCACCUGGAAUGUCCGAAGCGACAGAAGGACCAAGGGGGAGACAUCUCCAGAAUACAGUCCUGCCCUUGCAUCUGGUUCAUCCUCAGGUAGCUCACACUUUUGGACAGGCCACUGUCACCUGCCAGCAGGCCAGACAGUCCCCAGGGUGAUGGGCAAAUCCUGAAGACCUCAGUGGGUCUUCCCUGUCUCGAUGCCUGGCACAUCCAGGAGUCCAGGAGAAACAGGUCUUUCCAUGCCCAAGUUGGUAUCUUUUUGGGUGAGAACACUCUGAAAAUGAGGACUCUGGAAGUUAUUUUGAGCCACACAAGAUCAGAGAUAGCCAUGUCCAAGCAU